rnacentral:lncRNA from 1 species
UAGUUUUUAACUUCUUAUUCUGAAAACCACAUUAAUGUGGUGAGUCUAACUAAAUUCUUUGUCGGUUUUAUUUUUAAUACUCAAAAUUAUAGCAUCGAACUCUUGUUUACUUGAUAAUGCAAAUUGUGCACUAAAAUUUUGAAAAGAAAUUAAUCCCAACAAUAACUUUCAGACAGACAAAUCCUGGUUUAUCGAAGCUUUUUGUUGCAU